rnacentral:rRNA from 1 species
GACGAACGCUGGCGGCGUGCCUAAUACAUGCAAGUAGAACGCACAGUUUAUACCGUAGCUUGCUACACCAUAAACUGUGAGUUGCGAACGGGUGAGUAACGCGUAGGUAACCUGCCUGGUAGCGGGGGAUAACUAUUGGAAACGAUAGCUAAUACCGCAUAAUAUUGAUUAUUGCAUGAUAAUUGAUUGAACGAUGCUAUUGCAUCACUACCAGAUGGACCUGCGUUGUAUUAGCUAGUAGGUGAGGUAACGGCUCACCUAGGCGACGAUACAUAGCCGACCUGAGAGGGUGAUCGGCCACACUGGGACUGAGACACGGCCCAGACUCCUACGGGAGGCAGCAGUAGGGAAUCUUCGGCAAUGGACGAAAGUCUGACCGAGCAACGCCGCGUGAGUGAAGAAGGUUUUCGGAUCGUAAAGCUCUGUUGUAAGAGAAGAACGGGUGUGAGAGUGGAAAGUUCACACUGUGACGGUAUCUUACCAGAAAGGGACGGCUAACUACGUG